UAGCCCCAACACCGUCAGUACUUUCGAAUUUGCUCCAUAUCAAGUCAACAACUUUCUCCCCCGAAGGCGGGUUUCACUCGAGAAACAAAAAUGGAAGUCGAGCAGUGGCAGCUCCCACAACCUUGCCACGAAGUCGUCCAUGGCGCUAGACUCGCCCGCGGAUUAGGAUGAAUGCUCUUGGCUUGCAUGCAUGUGCCAUCACAGCCAGGGACGCAGUAAGGGUUUACCAUCGUUAUUGGACACUAAACAUGUUGAACGACAGCCUUGAUGUGCUGUAACUCCUCGAAGUGAACAUCCUACUGGGCACGAGACAUCUCAUAUUUCAGGCGUUCUCGUCUGAGAAUCUCAUGCAAAUUGCGCCCUGUCUUGAGUGAAAGCAUGGCUUAACAUGGAGGUGAUGAUAUGACAGAGACGUGCAGAAUAUUCCUUGAAAGUCAGGUUGACGGGCUUAGAAGUUAGGAGAGGAGCAGGUCAAUAUUAUGACCAAGAGAACCAUCUCAACUGUUGAAGGGAUUGAUUGUCCCCUCUACUUACCAGUAUGGCGCCGGUAGUGGGAGAGCUGUUUUGCCCAGUGGCCUAACAUCGAAACAGUACUAUA
rnacentral:sRNA from 1 species